rnacentral:rRNA from 1 species
UACGUAGGGUGCGAGCGUUGUCCGGAAUUAUUGGGCGUAAAGGGCUCGUAGGCGGUUUGUCGCGUCGGGAGUGAAAACACCGGGCUUAACUCGGUGCUGGCUUUCGAUACGGGCAGACUAGAGGUAUUCAGGGGAGAACGGAAUUCCUGGUGUAGCGGUGAAAUGCGCAGAUAUCAGGAGGAACACCCGUGGCGAAGGCGGCUCUCUGGAGCGCAACUGACGCUGAGACGCGAAAGCGUGGGGAGCAAACAGG